UUCAAAAGAAGAAGAAUGGAGUGUCAUAUUGGGAUUUCUACUUAUGGAUUUACUCCUGAUUUCCGAUUUUUCCUUGAUUAUGCAAGCUGACAACAAAGCGGGAUCGAGUUAAGCUACACUAGCAGAAGCGUUUAUUUAUAAAUUCUACGCAUGCAGCUCGUCUACAUUCGGAUGCAACUAAGUGUAUAAAACAUGCAAGCGCACGCUCAUCAUGCACGCACACACGCACGCACACAUCGCAAAACAUUAGCAACGCUAUUACAAUAACAGCGAUAAUAUAAUUUAGCGAUGACGGUAAUAAUUUACUUCUAACAAUAGUAGCAACAGUAAUCGUGAUGUACCCUUCACCAAGCAACGGGAACAAAUGACAUGGGCAACGUCAAUUAAUCUUUUGUUGAUUUUUGGUGAACUUGUUUCGUGCGUGACUCAUGUAGCAAUUAUCUCGCAGUAUAAUAAUCGUACAAUAUACUGUGAGCCGUGAUGUUAGUACAUAUGUAUUAAAAAAAAAAAGAUGCGGCGGUACGGUGUGUGAUGCUGCAUAAGUACAUGUAACAAGUGUGGUAUUAAGACAAAAUAAUUACUAAGGCACUAUGUAUAGAAAGAAAAAUAGUUCAAGCAAGGGCAGGUGUACUUCUAUAGCAAACUUACUAUACGUAGACCAUGCUGACUACAAGUGGGGAACUAACUUCAUGUUAAAAAGAGAGAUUAAAAUUAUCAUAAGAUCGAACGUGUAUUGUUUAUCGUAGUGAAAUGACAUUAAGUUAAAACUUAUUAUCAUAAGAAUCUUAUGAUAAGGAACAAUGCCACGUUCGACUAAAAUUCCCUACAGAGGGGUUAUUAUACGACAUAUCUCUCCUUCAAAUCAGUCUUUCAUGACUGAAGAUUGUCGUUUCUACUUGAUGAAUACUCAUGCAUGCUGGGAACUGUGUUGGCAAAGAUACUCUCGGUGGUUUGCCAUUGCCUUCCAAGAGGUGGUGAUCAAUUAAAAAUCUGAUAUAUUCUAGGUGGAUUUAAACUUGGAUUUUGGCAUAGAGAGCAGAUACGCAACUCUUACACCAUGAUCACCAUAUAUGACAUGUACAGAAAGAAAAAACAAUCGGGUGAUGAAGAGAAUAAAUGAUAUAAUAUCAUGCUUCUAUUUCUACUAAACUAUUUCGUAAAAUUAAAGCAAAACAAAAAAAAA
rnacentral:lncRNA from 13 species